AUGAGGAAGAUUUCCCAUGGCUUCAGGGACCCACUGGGCUUCGCUUCACUCACUGGAGUACUAGCACUUGUGCUGGUUCUGUUGGAAGUUGUGUGUGUUCCAGUUGAAAAGGGUGUACCAGAGUAUCCUGUGGUUGCAGUGGAUCCAGCUGUGCUAGUCCCACUGGAGGUUGUACUGGAUCCAGUACUGGAGGUUGUGCUUGUUUCACUGGAGGUCAUACUGGAACCAGUAUUGGCAGGUGUGCUGGUCUCACCAGAGAUUGUGCUGGUUCCAGUGUUGACAGGUGUAAUAGUCCCUCCAGAGGUCGAGCUGGAUCCAGUGUUGGAGGUUAUACUGGAACCACUGGGGGUCACGCUGGAUGCAGCGUUGGAAGUCACGCUGGAUCCAGUGCUGAAGGCUGUGCUAGAUCCUCCAGAGGUCGCGCUGGAUCCAGUGUUGGAGGUUAUACUGGAACCACUGGGGGUCACGCUGGAUCCAGCGUUGGAAGUCAUGCUGGAUCCAGUGCUGAAGGGUGUGCUAGACCCUCCAGAGGUCGAGCUGGAUCCAGUCUUGGAGGUUAUACUGGAACCACUGGGGGUCACGCUGGAUGCAGCGUUGGAAGUCACGCUGGAUCCAGUGCUGAAGGCUGUGCUAGAUCCUCCAGAUGUCGAGCUGGAUCCAGUGUUGGAGGUUAUGCUGGAACCACUGGGGGUCACGCUGGAUGCAGUGUUGGGAGUCAUGCUGGAUCCAGUGCUGAAGGCUGUGCUAGAUCCUCUAGAGGUCGAGCUGGAUCCAGUGUUGGAGGCUAUACUGGAACCACUGGGGGUCACGCUGGAUGCAGUGUUGGGAGUCAUGCUGGAUCCAGUGCUGAAGGGUGUGCUAGACCCUCCAGAGGUCGAGCUGGAUCCAGUGUUGGAGGUUAUGCUGGAACCACUGGGGGUCACGCUGGAUGCAGCGUUGGAAGUCACGCUGGAUCCAGUGCUGAAGGCUGUGCUAGAUCAUCCAGAGGUCGAGCUGGAUCCAGUGUUGGAGGUUAUGCUGGAACCACUGGGGGUCACGCUGGAUGCAGCGUUGGAAGUCACGCUGGAUCCAGUGCUGAAGGCUGUGCUAGAUCCUCCAGAUGUCGAGCUGGAUCCAGUGUUGGAGGUUAUGCUGGAACCACUGGGGGUCACGCUGGAUGCAGUGUUGGGAGUCAUGCUGGAUCCAGUGCUGAAGGGUGUGCUAGAUCCUCCAGAGGUCGAGCUGGAUCCAGUCUUGGAGGUUAUACUGGAACCACUGGGGGUCACACUGGAUGCAGCGUUGGAAGUCAUGCUGGACCCACUGGGGGUCAAGUUGGAUCCAGUGCUGGAGGCUGUGCUGGAUGCAGUGUUGAAGGCUGUGCUAGUCUCAGUGGAGAUUGCCAUGGAGAUGCAAUAGUAACCAAUACAUAAAGGGAAUGUUUCUUUUCUGCAUCUUAAUCUGCGUCUUUGUAGCUGAAAAACAAGAUGCUUGGAUUCCAGAUGUGGCCAAGACCUAGAAGGCAAAGAACAGGAUUCUUGAGAAAGGAGAGUUCAGGGUGAAGAGAUAAAGGCUGGAGCUUCCAGGAGGUUGGGUAUCCUAAGUAUAUGUUCUUGGAAAGAAUCUUGAGCUUGGAGGUCGCAGACUGGACACCUGGGCUCCUUAAGCUUCCUCCAUGCGAUGUUGUUGCCUCUUGUGUUAUCAUGGAAUAGCUGCAGGGGCCUUUAUAGCUUCACCUAGGUUGGGGAGGGGUUGGGAAGUUGGCUUGUUCUUCUGCCAACUGUGAGCAGGAACAAAAAACAAUACUGAGCCUAAGAAGGAAUAGACUGGGGGUCAAGAGGAAGGUGAGAAAGGAGAAUGACAUGAUCACUCUAGGCAGGGCACUGAGCUGGGUUUGAGCAGGAAGUAGGACGGGUUAAGGAGAUCAAGGUUGUCAGAGUGGAAGGGACCCACCCUUGAGGCAGAAAUUGGGUCAGAAACCUGUUCCAGUUCAAGACCUUGUUUCCUGCUCGGGAAGCCUUGUGCACCUGAAAAAACCCUAACAGACUGAGCUGAGGGGGCAGGACCCCAUAGCUCUGAGUCAAAGAAAAAUAUAAGACUUUAGGAAUUCCCAUCGUGGCUCAGUGGAAAUGAAUCCGACUAGUGUCCAUGAGAAUUCAGAUUCAAUC
rnacentral:lncRNA from 1 species